CCUUUGUACACACCGCCCGUCGCUACUACCGAUUGAAUGGCUCAGUGAGGUCUCCGGAUUGGUUCAGGGAGGUUGGCAACGACCACCCAGGACCGAGAAGCUGAUCAAACUUGGUCAUUUAGAGG
rnacentral:rRNA from 1 species